rfam:Coccomyxa subellipsoidea C-169, whole genome shotgun sequence.
GUGAUCGUGGCCGAGCGGUUAAGGCGAUAGACUAGAAAUCUAUUACGGAGACGUGCGCAGGUUCGAGUCCUGCCGAUCACG